rnacentral:rRNA from 1 species
AUUGAACGCUGGCGGCAGGCUUAACACAUGCAAGUCGAGCGAGCGGCGGACGGGUGAGUAAUGUCUGGGAAAAUGCCUGAUGGAGGGGGAUAACUAAUGGAAACGGUAGCUAAUACCACAUAACAUGAUAUGUGCCAAGAUGGGAUUGGCUAGUAGGUGGGGUAAUGGCUCACCUAGGCGACGAGCCCUAGCUGGUCUGUGAGGAUGACCAGCCACACUGGAACUGAGACACGGUCCAGACGCCACCGGGAGGCAGCAGUGGGGAAUAUUGCACAAUGGGCGCAAGCCUGAUACAGCCAUGCCGCGUGUGUGAAGAAGGCCUUCGGGUUGUAAAGCACUUUCAGCGAGGAGGCGUUACUCGCAGAAGAAGCACCGGCUAACUCCGUGCCAGCCGCCGCGGUAAUUC